rnacentral:tRNA from 1 species
GAGAGUGUAGCUCAAUGGUAGAGCAUUUGCCUAACAUGUGACACCUUGGGUUUAACUCCCAGCACCCCUCA